rnacentral:misc_RNA from 1 species
UUAACUUAUUUGUAUUUUCACUCAGACUUCAAUCUUCAGACAGAGUUCAAUGGUGUCUUCGGCGGGCGCGGGCCCGGGGGCGAAUGCCCCCCGGCGGCCGUGAGGCGGGCCCGCCGAAGCAACAAGGUAAAUAAACACGGGUGGGAGGUUGGACCCAGAGGGCCCUCACUCGGUAAUGAUCCUUCCGCAGGUUCACCUACGGAAA